UGCACAGUGGUUUGUUGAUGUUAAUCAAACAUAGAGCUGCGAAUCUGGUGAAAUGGGAAACUUUGAUCGGACUUGGAUGGGAAGAGGUCAUCCCACAUCGCACCAGCACAGCAAGACGAGACCGAAUACCGCAGUGAUGCUCUGAACUGGCGAUGAAAGAGAUGAGCCGUGACUGAACGCUCAAAUCAAAACUCUCUGUGGAUGAACUGAAGGUUCUGAUCUGCUGAAUAUGAACGUUUCUUGUAUUUUUCAUCAAACGCUCGACUCGGUGAGCAGCUGAGAGUCGUGUGUGUGUUUCCAGCGCCGAAAUCUCGCAGCGAGUCCCUGCUGUCGCGCUUCUAAAGUUGCUUAGUAACUGAGGAAGUGAAGCUUUCGUACGACUUCUGACUGUGAGCAUAUGCUGUGCACGCACAC